UACGUAGGCAGCAAGCGUUGUUCGGAAUUACUGGGCGUAAAGGGCUCGUAGGUGGCCAACUAAGUCGGACGUGAAAUCCCCAGGCUCAACUUGGGAACUGCGUCCGAUACUGGAUGGCUUGAAUUCGGGAGAGGGAUGCAGAAUUCCAGGUGUAGCGGUGAAAUGCGUAGAUAUCUGGAGGAAUACCGGUGGCGAAGGCGGCAUCCUGGACCGAGAUUGACACUGAUGAGCGAAAAGCCAGGGGGAGCAAACGGGG
rnacentral:rRNA from 1 species